AACGAACGCUGGCGGCAUGCCUAACACAUGCAAGUCGAACGAGACCUUCGGGUCUAGUGGCGCACGGGUGCGUAACGCGUGGGAACCUGCCCUUAGGUUCGGAAUAACUCCCCGAAAGGGGUGCUAAUACCGGAUAAUGUCUUCGGCCCAAAGAUUUAUCGCCUUUGGAUGGGCCCGCGUUGGAUUAGCUAGUUGGUAGGGUAAAAGCCUACCAAGGCGACGAUCCAUAGCUGGUCUGAGAGGAUGAUCAGCCACACUGGGACUGAGACACGGCCCAGACUCCUACGGGAGGCAGCAGUGGGGAAUAUUGGACAAUGGGCGAAAGCCUGAUCCAGCAAUGCCGCGUGAGUGAUGAAGGCCUUAGGGUUGUAAAGCUCUUUUACCCGGGAUGAUAAUGACAGUACCGGGAGAAUAAGCUCCGGCUAACUACGUG
rnacentral:rRNA from 1 species